GUAGUGUAUAAAUACACUAUUAAAAAAUGUAAUAGUUACACCAUGAAAAACCCCUGGGAGUGUACCAAUGCAAACUUCACUGGCAUUCCAUACAAAAAUGUGCAAAUAAAUUGAAUGACUGUGCGGUUACAAAAUUACUUCUAUAAGACAAAUAAAUUGCAUUACAGUUCCCUUAAUGACAGUAACUGUUUCCGUUAUCAAAUAUGGUGUCUUAUUUCAACACUACAAAAUAAUUAUACCCAAUUUCUACCGUCUGGACAGACGGAGUACAUACAAACUUCCUAACUUAUGACAUAUGCGUUGUUAACAUGAAUAGAGGAAUGAGGUUUUCCAGCAGCUUCAGAUUUCUUUUUCUUGCCGAAGACGCAACAACACAAAGAAAUAGCCGCAAUAAUCAGCAGUAAGACAAGAACAGGGACUCCAGCAACAAGAAGAUAAAACUCCACAGUUUUGCUGUCAUC